rnacentral:misc_RNA from 1 species
GAUGAAGAACGUAGCGAAAUGCGAUAAGUAAUGUGAAUUGCAGAAUUCAGUGAAUCAUCGAAUGUUUGAACGCACAUUGCGCCCCUUGGUAUUCCGAGGGGCAUGCCUGUUCGAGCGUCAUUAUAACCCCUCAAGCUCAGCUUGGUGUUGGGGCCUGCUGCACUGGCAGCCCUUAAAAUCAGUGGCGGCGCCAUCUGGCUCUAAGCGUAGUAAUUCUUCUCGCUAUGGAGUCCUGGUGGAUGCUUGCCAUCAACCCCCAAUUUUUCUAUGGUUGACCUCGGAUCAGGUAGGGAUACCCGCUGAACUUAAGCAUAUCAAUAAGCGGAGGA